UACAGAGGUCCCAAGCGUUGUUCGGAUUCACUGGGCGUAAAGGGUGCGUAGGUGGCGUCGUAAGUCGGGUGUGAAAUUUCGGAGCUUAACUCCGAAACUGCAUUCGAUACUGCGGUGCUUGAGGACUGGAGAGGAGACUGGAAUUUACGGUGUAGCAGUGAAAUGCGUAGAGAUCGUAAGGAAGACCAGUGGCGAAGGCGGGUCUCUGGACAGUUCCUGACACUGAGGCACGAAGGCCAGGGGAGCAAACGGG
rnacentral:rRNA from 1 species